UACGAAGGGGGCUAGCGUUGUUCGGAAUUACUGGGCGUAAAGGGCGCGUAGGCGGUCUUGUAAGUCAGAUGUGAAAGCCACGGGCUCAACCCGGGAAUAGCAUUUGAUACUGCGAGGCUUGAGCCCGGGAGAGGAUGGCGGAAUUCCCAGUGUAGAGGUGAAAUUCGUAGAUAUUGGGAAGAACACCGGUGGCGAAGGCGGCCAUCUGGACCGGUACUGACGGUGAGGCGCGAAAGCGUGUGGAGCAAACAGG
rnacentral:rRNA from 1 species